rnacentral:rRNA from 1 species
GGAGUUUGGACCGUGUCUCAGUUCCAAUGUGGGGGACCUUCCUCUCAGAACCCCUACUGAUCGAUGGCUCGGUGGGCCGUUACCCCGCCGACUACCUAAUCAGACGCAUCCCCAUCCCAUAGCGGUGAACCUUUGUUCCGAAUCAGAUGUCAUCCUCGAAAUACAACAUAGAGCAUUAAUCCGACUUUCGCCGGGCUAUUCUCUACUAUGGGGAAGGUUGGAUACGCGUUACUCACCCGUGCGCCGGUCGCCAUCAAAGAAAGCAAGCUUCCUUCAUGCUGCCCCUCGACUUGCAUGUGUUAAGCCUGUAGCUAGCGUUCAUC